GGUUAAGCGACUAAGCGUACACGGUGGAUGCCCUGGCAGUCAGAGGCGAUGAAGGACGUGCUAAUCUGCGAAAAGCGUCGGUAAGGUGAUAUGAACCGUUAUAACCGGCGAUGUCCGAAUGGGGAAACCCAGUGCAAUUCGUUGCACUAUCGUUAACUGAAUACAUAGGUUAACGAGGCGAACCGGGGGAACUGAAACAUCUAAGUACCCCGAGGAAAAGAAAUCAACCGAGAUUCCCCCAGUAGCGGCGAGCGAACGGGGAGCAGCCCAGAGUCUGAAUCAGCUUGUGUGUUAGUGGAACGGUCUGGAAAGUCCGACGGUACAGGGUGAUAGUCCCGUACACCAAAAUGCACAGGCUGUGAACUCGAAGAGUAGGGCGGGACACGUGGUAUCCUGUCUGAAUAUGGGGGGACCAUCCUCCAAGGCUAAAUACUCCUGACUGACCGAUAGUGAACCAGUACCGUGAGGGAAAGGCGAAAAGAACCCCGGCGAGGGGAGUGAAAAAGAACCUGAAACCGUGUACGUACAAGCAGUGGGAGCACCUUCGGGUGUGACUGCGUACCUUUUGUAUAAUGGGUCAGCGACUUAUAUUCUGUAGCAAGGUUAACCGUAUAGGGGAGCCGCAGGGAAACCGAGUCUUAACUGGGCGUUAAGUUGCAGGGUAUAGACCCGAAACCCGGUGAUCUAGCCAUGGGCAGGUUGAAGGUUGGGUAACACUAACUGGAGGACCGAACCGACUAAUGUUGAAAAAUUAGCGGAUGACUUGUGGCUGGGGGUGAAAGGCCAAUCAAACCGGGAGAUAGCUGGUUCUCCCCGAAAGCUAUUUAGGUAGCGCCUCGUGAACUCAUCUUCGGGGGUAGAGCACUGUUUCGGCUAGGGGGUCAUCCCGACUUACCAACCCGAUGCAAACUACGAAUACCGAAGAAUGUUAUCACGGGAGACACACGGCGGGUGCUAACGUCCGUCGUGAAGAGGGAAACAACCCAGACCGCCAGCUAAGGUCCCAAAGUCAUGGUUAAGUGGGAAACGAUGUGGGAAGGCACAGACAGCCAGGAUGUUGGCUUAGAAGCAGCCAUCAUUUAAAGAAAGCGUAAUAGCUCACUGGUCGAGUCGGCCUGCGCGGAAGAUGUAACGGGGCUAAACCAUGCACCGAAGCUGCGGCAGCGACACUAUGUGUUGUUGGGUAGGGGAGCGUUCUGUAAGCCUGCGAAGGUGUGCUGUGAGGCAUGCUGGAGGUAUCAGAAGUGCGAAUGCUGACAUAAGUAACGAUAAAGCGGGUGAAAAGCCCGCUCGCCGGAAGACCAAGGGUUCCUGUCCAACGUUAAUCGGGGCAGGGUGAGUCGACCCCUAAGGCGAGGCCGAAAGGCGUAGUCGAUGGGAAACAGGUUAAUAUUCCUGUACUUGGUGUUACUGCGAAGGGGGGACGGAGAAGGCUAUGUUAGCCGGGCGACGGUUGUCCCGGUUUAAGCAUGUAGGCUGAUUAUCCAGGCAAAUCCGGAUAAUCAAGGCUGAGGUGUGAUGACGAGGCACUACGGUGCUGAAGUAACAAAUGCCCUGCUUCCAGGAAAAGCCUCUAAGCAUCAGGUAACAUCAAAUCGUACCCCAAACCGACACAGGUGGUCAGGUAGAGAAUACCAAGGCGCUUGAGAGAACUCGGGUGAAGGAACUAGGCAAAAUGGUGCCGUAACUUCGGGAGAAGGCACGCUGGUGUGUAGGUGAAGUCCCUGCGGAUGGAGCUGAGACCAGUCGAAGAUACCAGCUGGCUGCAACUGUUUAUUAAAAACACAGCACUGUGCAAACACGAAAGUGGACGUAUACGGUGUGACGCCUGCCCGGUGCCGGAAGGUUAAUUGAUGGGGUUAUCCGUAAGGAGAAGCUCUUGAUCGAAGCCCCGGUAAACGGCGGCCGUAACUAUAACGGUCCUAAGGUAGCGAAAUUCCUUGUCGGGUAAGUUCCGACCUGCACGAAUGGCGUAAUGAUGGCCAGGCUGUCUCCACCCGAGACUCAGUGAAAUUGAACUCGCUGUGAAGAUGCAGUGUACCCGCGGCAAGACGGAAAGACCCCGUGAACCUUUACUAUAGCUUGACACUGAACAUUGAGCCUUGAUGUGUAGGAUAGGUGGGAGGCUUUGAAGCGUGGACGCCAGUCUGCGUGGAGCCAACCUUGAAAUACCACCCUUUAAUGUUUGAUGUUCUAACGUUGGCCCCUGACCGGGGUUGCGGACAGUGUCUGGUGGGUAGUUUGACUGGGGCGGUCUCCUCCCAAAGCGUAACGGAGGAGCACGAAGGUUAGCUAAUCCUGGUCGGACAUCAGGAGGUUAGUGCAAUGGCAUAAGCUAGCUUGACUGCGAGCGUGACGGCGCGAGCAGGUGCGAAAGCAGGUCAUAGUGAUCCGGUGGUUCUGAAUGGAAGGGCCAUCGCUCAACGGAUAAAAGGUACUCCGGGGAUAACAGGCUGAUACCGCCCAAGAGUUCAUAUCGACGGCGGUGUUUGGCACCUCGAUGUCGGCUCAUCACAUCCUGGGGCUGAAGUAGGUCCCAAGGGUAUGGCUGUUCGCCAUUUAAAGUGGUACGCGAGCUGGGUUUAGAACGUCGUGAGACAGUUCGGUCCCUAUCUGCCGUGGGCGCUGGAGAAUUGAGGGGGGCUGCUCCUAGUACGAGAGGACCGGAGUGGACGCAUCACUGGUGUUCGGGUUGUCAUGCCAAUGGCACUGCCCGGUAGCUAAAUGCGGAAGAGAUAAGUGCUGAAAGCAUCUAAGCACGAAACUUGCCCCGAGAUGAGUUCUCCCUGAGACUUUAAGUCUCCUGAAGGAACGUUAAAGACGAUGACGUUGAUAGGCCGGGUGUGUAAGCGCAGCGAUGCGUUGAGCUAACCGGUACUAAUGAACCGUGAGGCUUAACCUU
rnacentral:rRNA from 1 species